UCCUUUUUACUAGCUGAGGUAAUUAAAUUAUGCAGUUCUAUCGUUAUUGGUGCCUUCAUUUUGGAUUAGUAAGUAGAUUAUUUUAUGUUGUUUUUUUAGUAAAUAAACUGCGUUUUGUAUGAAUCUGAAGCUGUGUCUGCGUUUUGUAUGACCAGACUGUAACCCAAAAUCCAUAUAUAACUUACAGAGAAAGAGAGAAAGGAUUGUACCAGCGCCUUGAGCACCAGCUCCUCGAACAAUGGUGAGACCCACCGGAAGAGGAUUAUAUGCAGCAACAGAGACUCCGAAAACAUAAUCUUGAAAUGAAACCUUUGUUCCAUUGAGAUACUCAUCAUACUCAUAACCAUUGCUUAAUCCCAAAUACCCAAUAACAAUUACACCGCAAAAACACAAAAUGUUCCUCAUUUAUUAUAUCUAAUCCCACCUCUUUAAUACCCAAAAAUCAAAAUGCUAACUUUUAACGGGAGUUGCAUGGACACAAAAUGCAUUUUGAAUAUUUUGGGAUCUAAAUCAACCCAUUCUUUUCUUAGAUUUAAUAAACUUUCAUGUAUUCAAAGUUUCACUGAAUAUCAUGUAAUUGUUUUAAUUGUUUAUUGAUUCAAGUAUGAUAUUUGUUGUUUUCUCACUAUCAAGUUUUACAAUUCUGUUCUUUUGCUCGCAAUUUGCACAGUUAUGACCCAAGUUUUGCUGUAUAAAUUUGUGUUUUCAAUGGCAAUUUUGCAGGAGUGGAUGCUGACAAAUUACCUGUAGUGGGUUUGUCUUCAAUUAUUGUAAGUUGCAUAAUUUGUAUGUUUAUUUAUCUUUUUCUACAUGCACAAACACACAUAUGUAUUAUUUAUCAGGCAUAUGUAUUGUAUAAUUGCUAUGUCAAAUGAGGAAAAUUGCAAGUUGCACCAGGGUAUAUUUGUUAUAUCUACCUGUUUCUCUUUUGAAUUAUUGCUCGAAAAACUGCAAGUAGAGAGAUGUGAGGAGGAAAAUUGUACUAAUUUAGCACACACAAAAUUAGUUUAUGUUAUUAUUAAUUUUGGUGGUUGUAGACUUUAGUAUUAUUAUUCUCUUUAUAAUACGAUAAAAAAAAAAUUAAUCUGUAAUGUUAGGGAUAAAUUGAGUUGACAAGAUAAUUGCAUGCAAUGAAGAAAUUUUGUCACCAGUAUCAUAAAUGUAAUUUAUUUAAAGAUAAAACUUUAGCAACUCCAGUAAAAAGUUAGUAUUAGAGAUUGAACGAGUCCGUGCAUAAAACUUUGUCCUAAUUCAUACUUUAUCCGUUUCUUGAUAUAAGUCGUUUUAGAAUUGUGUACAGUAUUAAAAAAAUAAUUGUAUAACUUUAAAUAUAAUAUUAAUUAUCUAUAUUAUCUUUAUAUUAUAAAAAGAGUGUUAUUUCUUAGCAAAAAAUAGUGAGAGAACCAAAAUUAUAUUUAAUACUUGGAAUAAUAUUGAAAACUAAAUAAUUAAUAAUUACUUAAAAUUCUCAAACCACUUAUAUUAAAAUUGAGUGUCAUGACUAACAUAGCAGUAGUUUAACCAACUUUAUACCCUACAGAUUAUAAAGUGCACAGGUGUGGCUUCAAAUGCUUUUAUCUAUAUUUUCCAAUACGCUAACACUGUAAAUUUGUAAACCGAACCAUUUGGAUACCUUUACGAAAUUAUUGUAAUAAGAAAUUUGACAAACACUGUGGUGUACAAUCUGCGGUCGCACAUGCUGCAAACAUUUUGCUGCUGCAAACUCUGGUGCAAAGUGCAAACAAAACAAUAUAUUCUAAGUGUUACUAUUUUGAUGUAGAACGAUAUCUGGAGAUAGAUCAUUGUUGAAAAUAAUUGAUAAAAAUAAGGGAAUAAUUAAUGCAUUUCUUUCAAUUCCUAAUUUGUGGAGAAACUUACUGCUACGUUAGGAAUAAAUUCUUGAUUGUGAAGAUAUUUCUACUUCAGUGUGCAGUUAUCUAAUUAUAAGCUUUAAUAAGCAGACACAUCAGUAAUUUACCAAGUUCACAAGUUUUUUUGCUGUCAAACUUAUUGCCUAUCCUCUCCUGUAUUGGAAAAAUAAAUAAAUGACUUUAUCUCUAGAGUGAGCGAACAAUCUAGAAGAAAUACAAUAGCAUUGCUAUAUAGGCUGAACUAUCCGCUUGAACAUCAUUGUAAUUGUCCAUAUUCCCCAUAUAUUUGAGCCAUUAAUGCCGAUGGUUGUAAUUUUCCAGACUACAUAACAUGUACAAGUGUAAUUUUCUGUAUAGAUAGAUUGGGGAUUAAUUGACGGUAAGUAAAGGAGAAAAAAUCCCCUAAAAAAUCAAAUAAAUGCCAUAUCACUUAUUGUUAAGUAUGGAAAAAUGACAAAACAUGCAGUCAUGAGUAAUUCCAUUUAAUCAAUUCUAAGUUGCAUUGUACAGUUAUCUAAUUAUAAGCUUAAAUAAGCAGACACAUCAGUAAUUUAUCAAGUUCACAAGUUUUUUUGCUGUCAAACUUAUUGCCUAUCCUUUCAUGUAUUGGAAAAAUAAAUAAAUGACUUUAUCUCUAGAGAGAGCGAACAAUCUAGAAGAAAUACAAUAGCAUUGCUAUAUAGGCUGAACUAUCCGCUUGAACAUCAUUGCAAUUCUUAAAUCGUAUUUAAGUAAUCACGUGUCAAUUGUUUCGUUCUUGCGAUACUACUAACAUUUUGCUUUCUCUUAUAAAUAACAGAUUUUUGUUACAAACAAUAUUCGUUGGUCGUGGACGUUGCCGAUGGAUAACCUUUUUUUUCAAAGGUUUAUGUACCAAAGACAUGGUAGAGCUUGACAGAUAUACAAGGUAAAUGUUAUUAUAUGUAUUUUUGGGUAUAUAUUGAAGGAUACUUGGUGUAAGCUGUAAAGAAUGUAUUUGGUGUAAGAUGUAAAGUAAAGGGUGGUGCUCAACAUGUUGUUUCUCUAUUUUCUGCAUAUAUGUAUUUUUGUUCUCCGUCUUUUGUAAAGUUGGGUAAUUAUACAUGGUUAUGAUGAUUUUGAGUAUGUAAUGAUGUUUUUUUUGGUGGUUUGGAUAUGUAUGGAUGAUUGUAAGUUUUUUAAAUAGGUUUAGAUUUUUCUGGAUAUCUAUUUUAAAGGAAACUCUGCCG
rnacentral:lncRNA from 1 species